UCAAACAUCUGGUUUUGAAGCUCCCUUUUUCUUGGUUUAAUUCGAAUUUUGAGUGCUGAGAACAUGACCAUUCGGGGCGGGGCUUAAAGAGGAACGAUGUAAGAUGUUUCGCUAUUGGUUGGUGCUGACUGGAGUGAGAGCAUCUGAAUGCACCGCAGGUCAAGGCUUCAGUGAGUGGACAUACCAGGAAAGACCAGGCUAUAAAUACAGUGAGUGUUUCAGGUGCUGGAGUUCUCAGGUGUGCUGGGUGGCAGGUGUGACUUAUUCUGCUGAUUGCAUGGAGGAGUACUUAAGCAGGAGGCUGCCAGCACUUCGACGCAAGAGUGUUUGCCCUCCGUGGCUGAAAACCUGAACCUUGGAUCUACAUUAUUGUACACAGUCUUCGUGUCUGGAAGUUUCUGGACAAUUAAGAUUAUCUACGUUCUCAGGGCUUCGUCUCCUAACUACUGUCCCCAUCUGGACUCAGAUCAAGCUGGCAGUUUCCUGCUUCCGUCUCCUGGACCAAGGCAUAAGUGUACCCUGUCCACCCUCCAACGCAAGUACCUGCAUAUCGAACUAACUCCAGAUAUCUCCAAGCUCACACAAAACAAUAUCUAAGAGAUCAUCUGAACAAACUCAGCCUCGACAACCUGGACCCCAAAUCCCUCUACCCCUGGCGACCUGACCGCACCUACUUAUUGGAGAUUUGUCCUUUCACGUUCCUGAUUAUUUUUGGCACAAAUAAAACAUCAUUUAUUUACUCUGUUUUCUCCGGAGUGUCCUUCUGUAUGUGGGUCAGAUCUAUUACGAAAACAAUGACAAAUAUAUUAUGUUCCCGAUGCCGAAUGGGAAACCAAAGUGGCAGAUCACAAGCUGAGGAAUCUGUGGGACAACAGUUACUGCCCUGGUUUGUUUUUGACUGUUCUGUUUGCACGGUUUGAAGAGAGGCCUUCUGCAGGUCCUGGUAUCUGACUUGAUUGCUGGCUACUUAUUAAGAUCUGCCACACAUGCUGCUGCUGCAGCCCUUUCCCUCUCCCUCCUGAGAUCUUCAUUUGUUUGAUUCGUCUCUUAUGUUUAAGUUGUGAAAGAUUUGCUUAGUUUGGUUAUUGAUUGGACUUUUGGGUUCACCUGUAAUUUGACUUUUCUCUUUCAGGUUAAUUUUAUUUUAAUCUAUUUUUUUGUGGAAGCAAAUCUCCUUGUGUGCUCUCCUUUUAUGUUAACCCACCAUUCAAGCUGGUAAACGCAACAG